UACGGAGGGGGCUAGCGUUGUUCGGAAUUACUGGGCGUAAAGCGCACGUAGGCGGAUUGGAAAGUUGGGGGUGAAAUCCCGGGGGCUCAACCCCCGGAACUGCCUUCAAAAACUCCCAGUCUGGAGGUCGAGAGAGGUGAGUGGAAUCCGAGUGUAGAGGUGAAAUUCGUAGAUAUUCGGAGGAACACCAGUGGCGAAAGGCGGCUGCACUGG
rnacentral:rRNA from 1 species